GGCGCGAUAGCAAAGCGGCUGUGCAGCGGAUUGCAAAUCCGUCCAGCCCGGUUCGACUCCGGGUCGCGCCUCCA
rnacentral:tRNA from 5 species